UAUGGUACGUUAAUGCCCCAGAUUAGAUACGAUUAUUAGUAAUCCCGGAAGUGGGUACAAUCUAGUGAAGGACAACUCCCUUAGCUACGGUAGUAGGCAUUUCGCAUGUCCAUGAUUGGAGUUACCGAAGUUCGGGUCUGGUCUGAGAAAAGAUAAAAGUAGCCCAGUGCUGGAGGGACUCUUAAAAUCCACCAAUUUGAUGGCCAUAAUAUGUCUUCAUUGCUCAGACACUGACAUGAGCAUAAUUCUGUGGUAAUCAUAGCCCCUCGGGCUAUGGAAAUCAGCGAUGCAUUGUUGCCCAUUGCCGUUCGCUGGCUGCCAUUAAAUUGCAACCAAGAAAUCGACGGUCCGGCAAACUGGAGCUGAAAGAGUGAAAGGCAAGCAGAAGGAGAAGGAGAAGAGAACUUGCAGCUGGUUUGGUUUCGGUCCUCCGGCCUGCCUGGGUAACCUGAUUCAAUGAGCUUGAAAAUCUAUCACUUAUUCUGCUGGCUGCAUGCGGCAUGCUGCAUGCGGGGCCUUUCUUUUUGCCACACAUUUCUGCCUAUAAAAAGGCCAAGACUUGAUUGACCAGCAACAGCAGCAGCAGCAGCUCCCAUUCUGUUUAUGAGCCUUUUUUUCGGAAUACUUUCUAAAGCAGCGCCGGCCAUGGCCCGCAGUUGUUUUAUUACAAAUUGGAAAUUUGUCUCAAAAGCGCCCAAGGAGACAGCAUUUGCAUACGCCAAAGUUCGACAAAUUUCCAAACGCAUUUAUCUCCGCACUCAGAUCUGCAGCGAAGUCAGUCAGACACGACCCAAGCCGCCGUCUGUUUUUCCUUUGGCUUGCCUUUGAUUUUACUUUCGAAAGGCACUUAAUUAGUGGGGGGAACAACAAGACGAAAAGCAAGCCGAAUACUUUUACUCUAACUGAUUGAAAGGCACAGUCCGAAACUGGAACUGCUAUGAGGCUGCCAUUUUCACACAUUCGGGCGCUAUGUGGUGGAAAAUGCAGGUCAAAAAAUCUGCUAUGCAUUCGUAGCCUUCUUAUGAAUUCUGAUAAUUUAAAUGGGUGGGUCGAUAAAUUGCAAGCUUUCCUUUUUCAACAGAAUAAAUUACACACAAUAGAA